CUUAAUUAAAAGGCGAAAGUAAUCGAAAUAUAUUGAUAUUUUAAAGUCGCGUACGCGUCUUAUAUAAUCAUCUAAGUUUUUCGCGUUAUAGAUUAUAAUUUCUUUUGUCGGUCUUAUAAGAACAUCUCAAAAUAUUGAAACAUUUGUUGGUUUGAACUGCUGUUAGACUGUCAGUUUUCGUCUACCCCAUAUUCCCGGCUAAUUCUUUCACGGGGCCGCAGCCUGAAAAAUACGAUUCCAGAUACGGGGCGCCGACGUUCCUCCACACCACAACUGAUAUUUUGGUGGCUAUAAUCGGGAGGUGUUCUUUGGCUGCGUAGGUAAGUAUUGGGAAUAUUUGGUGUCGGGAAAAGGAAUUUACGUUUUUAAGAGGUUCACCUAGUGGCAAAUUUUGAAAAAUUUAAAUAUUUUUGUAGUGAA